UACAUGGGGUGCAAACGUUGCUCGGAAUUAUUGGGCGUAAAGCGCACGUAGGCGGUUCGUUAAGUCGGAUGUGAAAGCCCUCGGCUCAACUGAGGAAGUGCACCCGAAACUGGCGAGCUUGAGUACGAAAGAGGAUCGCGGAAUUCCUGGUGUAGCAGUGAAAUGCGUAGAUAUCAGGAGGAACACCGGUGGCGAAGGCGGUUCUCUGGGCCUUACCUGACACUGAGGAGCGAAAGCGUGGGGAGCGAACAGG
rnacentral:rRNA from 1 species